UACGUAGGGGGCUAGCGUUGUCCGGAUUUAUUGGGCGUAAAGAGCGUGUAGGCGGCCAGGUAGGUCUGCUGUGAAAACUCGAGGCUCAACCUCGAGACGUCGGCGGAAACCAUGUGGCUAGAGUCCGGAAGAGGAGAGUGGAAUUCCUGGUGUAGCGGUGAAAUGCGCAGAUAUCAGGAAGAACACCCGUGGCUAAGGCGGCUCUCUAGUACGGUACUGACGCUGAGACGCGAAAGCGUGGGGAGCGAACAGG
rnacentral:rRNA from 1 species